rnacentral:lncRNA from 1 species
CGACCCACAUCUGACCCACAGAGACCCACAGCAGCCCUGCCCCACAUCUGACCCACAGCUGACCCACAUCCAGAGGGGCUGCCCCACAUCUGACUCAUGGCCGACCCAUAGAGACCCACAUCUGACCCACAGCAGCCCUGCCCCACAUCUGACCCACAUCCAGAGGGGCUGCCCCACAUCUGACCCAGAGAGACCCUGCCCCACAUCUGACCCAUGGCCGACCCAUAGAGGGGCUGGGGCUGACCCAUAGAGACCUUGCCCCACAUCUGACCCACAUCCAGAGGGGCUGCCCCACAGCUGACCCGCAGAGGGGCCGGCCCUGACCCACAGCUGACCCACGGCAGGGCUGACCCACCUCUGACCCACAGCUGACCCAUAGAGGGGCUGGGGCUGACCCACGGCAGGGCUGCCCCACAUCUGACCUACGGCCGACCCACAGAGGGGCUGGGGCUGCCCCACAUCUGACCCACGGCAGGGCUGCCCCACGGCUGACCCACACUGGGCCUGGGGCUGACCCAGGGCAGGGCUGAGCCACAGUGGGGCUGCCCCACAUCUGACCCACAUCUGACCCACAGCAAGCCCAGGGCUGACCCACAGCAGCCC